rnacentral:rRNA from 1 species
AAAUUGAAGGGUUUGAUCAUGGCUCAGAUUGAACGCUGGCGGCAGGCCUAACACAUGCAAGUCGAACGGUAACAGGAAGCAGCUUGCUGCUUCGCUGACGAGUGGCGGACGGGUGAGUAAUGUCUGGGAAACUGCCUGAUGGAGGGGGAUAACUACUGGAAACGGUAGCUAAUACCG